rnacentral:tRNA from 1 species
AAUCCGUCGACUUUAUAAAUCGUGAGGGUUCAAGUC